GUGAUCGGUGUCGGCAUGAUGCCUCGGUUGGCUACGGCGGCGUGCGCGCCGGUCGGUCGGCGCGGCGAAUGGCGGCAGGUGCGGUAUCGGCGGCAGCGGUGCCCGGUAGUACGCUGUGGCCCUAAGGCCUAACGCUAGCGGCGCUGUGAAUUGGCGCGGUCGUCGGCACGGUGCCCGGUGUCAGCUGUUCGGCGCAUCAGCUGAUCGAUCGACGGCGUUGUUGUCACCACGCGUGGUGACAAGUCGCGGAGCCGGUUCCUCCUCACUGCGGAAUCCCCGGGUCGGAACGACGGCGACCGCUCAGUGCGCGGCCGAGAGCUCGGGUACGGAUCGUGUCGUGUAAAAAAAAUAAUUGACUUUGAUGUUGAAACUAAUGCUACAUCUGACAUACUAAUGGAAGUUGAAUCAACAGUAACAUGCUCUUCGACUCAAAACGGAGUAGAAAUUAAGAGAAUGUUUUAUAAACGUCGGAAUUCCAACAACGAGCACUCAAACAAUAAAUAUGUUAAGAUAUCCAAAAGAUAUUUCAGGAAAGGCACUCGAAUAUAUGUCGAAAUGCUUUAAUAAAAUAUACAAAAAUUUUAAGACGAAAAUAUUUUAAUCAACAGAAAAUAAUCAAAAACUUAAGAAAGAAAACAUAUUAUCAAAAGAAGAAAAUUGUAUGUUUCAAAAGUUUUUUAAUUAAUUUGAGAAAAAAUAAUCUCAUUUCUACAAAUGCUCAUCAAGUGCUACAGACUUCUGUGGCAUACAUUUCUGCGCGACAUAAAUACUGGUGUUAUCAAUGUUAGUAACAUAAAAAAACCCUUGUUAGUAACAUAAAAAAACAAUAGAUAAAAUAAAUCUAUUUUAGCUUUGUAAAGAUUGCAUCCCCAAGUGUAAAUUUUUAAAAAAUGACAACAAAAUUUAUUUGUCCAACCAAACAUGUCGUUUGUCUAGCUAAAUAAAGUUAUUAACAAAAAUACAAAACUUUAGUUUAUUUAAAAAUGUUUUUUAAUUAAUUUAAAAAAUUUGAUAUAUGUAUGCAAUAAAUAAUUAUGUAUUUAUUAAUAUAAAACAUCAUAACAUAUAAUUUUUUACAUAAAUAAAAUAUUUAAUUUUAUAAUCUUAAAUAUUAUUUUUUUAAGACUUAAUAAUAAAUCAUAAAUUAAUUUAUUAAAAUCCAUUGCUAAACUAGUAUCGAAAAAAACAAUUAGAAAUAAAACAAGAGCAAAAACUAAUUUUUUAUGUCAAUUUUAUGUAUUAUUAUUGAUACUAGCUUUUUCGCCCGCGCUUCUUACUUCAUGCACACACAUAUAUAAGUACCGCGUCUGUUUGUCCGCUGAAAUGUAAGAAAUGUAACUAAUCAUUUUUAUGUCCAUCCAUUUGCUUUUAGUAUUCAAGUUUUACAUUUUUUUAUCAAAAAUACAUGCCCGUGUGAGUAGUUCACGGAAAUACAAUCUAACAAACAUGCCUACUUAUCGUAUAAUACAAAAUCAUUAGUGGUGCCGUUUACAUCAGUACAUCAGUACUCAAGCGUGAUCUUGUCCUAUACAUGUUUUACCAAUUAUUUUUUAUGAAUGAAGAUCAUGUUACGUAAUUCCCUCUAUAAUGAAAAUCCGAUUCAAUGGAUCCAUAUACAGGUUGUUUCGUGUAAGGACCUACAUUUCUUAAAGUUACGCCAAUCAUUUAUGAAACACCCUCCUGUAUAUGUAAAAUCCAAACCCAUGGCUGCCAUCCUAAAAAAAUUUGGAAUUAAAUGAGACCAUUUGCAAGUGGUUCUGGCCACAAAUGACGGUGUAGUUCGCGGACAUGCAGACAUACAGACAACUGAACUUAUAUACAUAAAUUUUUGGAAAACCCUGUAAAUAACAUCUUUUUACAUUGAUUAUUUAUUUAUUUCCGUAUACAGGUUGUUUCAUAAAUGUUUGGCGUAACUUAAAGAAAUGUAUGUCCUUAAAUGAAACACCUUGUAUAGGGAAAAUCCAAUCCCAUGGCAGCCUUACUUGUUAAAUUUGGAAUAAGAUAAGACCAUUUGCAAGAGAUUCGGGCUACAAAUGUCGAUGUUGUUCGCGGUUAUACAGACAAACGUUUAUCCGUUAUUAAUCAAUAUAUAGAUAAUUUUUUAAAAACCCUAUAUUUGAAAAAGCAAACCCAUAGCAGCAAUCCUCGUAAAAUUUGGAAUAAAAUAAGAUCUUUUGCAUUAAAAUUGGACCACAAAUAACGGAGUUCGCGGGCAUACAGAUUUCAAUCAUUCAUAACGUAUAUUUUGGCCUAUCAUUUUUGAUACACCCUGUUUUUGAAAAAUUCGAGUCAUAGUAGCUAUUCCCGGAAAAAAUGCUAAAUUUUGAGACCAUUUGCAUUAAGAUCGAACUACAAAUGACGGAAUAGUUCGCGGGCAUACAGACUUUAGUGAUUUAUACGUAUAUUUUGGCCUAUUACUUUUGAAACACCCUGUUUUUGAAAAAUUCGAGUCCAUAGUAGCCAUCCCCGGAAAAAAUGCCAAAUUUUGAGACCAGUUGCAAGGGGAUCGGACCUCAAAUGACGGUGUAGUUCGCGGGCAAACAGACUUCCCACACAGCACACUUUAUCCUAGGGAUGUCCCUGGGAUGUCAUUUU